rnacentral:rRNA from 1 species
UACGAAGGGUGCAAGCGUUACUCGGAAUUACUGGGCGUAAAGGGUGCGUAGGUGGUUGUUUAAGUCUGCUGUGAAAGCCCCGGGCUCAACCUGGGAAUGGCAGUGGAUACUGGACAGCUAGAGUGCGGUAGAGGGUAGUGGAAUUCCCGGUGUAGCAGUGAAAUGCGUAGAGAUCGGGAGGAACACCAGUGGCGAAGGCGGCUACCUGGACCAGCACUGACAUUGAAGCACGAAAGCGUGGGGAGCAAACAGG